rnacentral:rRNA from 1 species
CGCCGAAAGACCAAGGUUUCCUGCGCAACGUUCAUCGGCGCAGGGUUAGUCGGCCCCUAAGGCGAGGCCGAAAGGCGUAGUCGAUGGGAAACAGGUUAAUAUUCCUGUACCGGAUAUAGCUGCGAUGGGGUGACGGAGAAGGUUAGGCUGGCCUGGCGAUGGUUGUCCAGGUUUAAGCACGUAGGCUGGGGACUUAGGUAAAUCCGGGUCCCUAAGGCCGAGAUGUGAUGACGAACCGUUCUUAUACGAACGGGAAGUGGUCGAUACCAUGCUUCCAAGAAAAACCUCUAAGCUUCAGGCUAUAAACGACCGUACCCCAAACCGACACAGG